rnacentral:rRNA from 2 species
ACGACGUUGAUAGGUCGGGUGUGUAAGCGCAGCGAUGCGUUGAGCUAACCGAUACUAAUGAACCGUGAGGCUUAACCUUACAACGCCGAAGGUGUUU